UAGCCCUACGGGGGGCAGCAGUGGGGAAUAUUGCACAAUGGGGGGAACCCUGAUGCAGCGACGCCGCGUGAGUGAAGAAGUAUUUCGGUAUGUAAAGCUCUAUCAGCAGGGAAGAAAAUGACGGUACCUGACUAAGAAGCCCCGGCUAACUACGUGCCAGCAGCCGCGGUAAUACGUAGGGGGCAAGCGUUAUCCGGAAUCACUGGGUGUAAAGGGAGCGUAGACGGCUGAGCAAGCCUGAAGUGAAAGGCGGGGGCCCAACCCCUGGACUGCUUUGGGGACUGUACGGCUGGAGUGCAGGAGGG
rnacentral:rRNA from 1 species